GCGGAGGAAAAGAAACUAACAAGGAUUCCCCUAGUAACGGCGAGUGAAGCGGGAAGAGCUCAAAUUUGAAAUCUGGUGGCCUCAGGUCAUCCGAGUUGUAAUCUAUAGAAGUGUUUUCCGUGCUGGCUCAUGUACAAGUCCCUUGGAACAGGGCGUCAUAGAGGGUGAGAAUCCCGUCCUUGACAUGAACUACCAGUGCUCUGUGAUACAUUUUCAACGAGUCGAGUUGUUUGGGAAUGCAGCUCAAAAUGGGUGGUAAAUUCCAUCUAAAGCUAAAUAUUGGCGAGAGACCGAUAGCGAACAAGUACCGUGAGGGAAAGAUGAAAAGCACUUUGGAAAGAGAGUUAAACAGUAUGUGAAAUUGUUGAAAGGGAAACGAUUGAAGUCAGUCGUGCUCUUUGGAUUCAGCCGGUUCUGCCGGUGUACUUCCUUUGAGUGGGGUCAACAUCAGUUUUGAUCGCUGGAUAAAGGCUGGAGGAACGUAGUACCCUCGGGUAAACUUAUAGCCUCCUGUCACAUACAGUGGUUGGGACUGAGGAACGCAGCAGGCCUUUAUGGCCGGGAUUCGUCCACGUACGUGCUUAGGAUGUUGUCAUAAUGGCU
rnacentral:rRNA from 1 species